rnacentral:rRNA from 1 species
AUGCCUGUCUUAUUUAGUAUAUGUCAAGAUCAGGAUGGGACUAUUGCUGAGUUUGUGGCAAAGGACUAUAAACCGGGGUUCAGACGGAGACUGUUUGGAGAGGUUAAUGAUCAGUGGGACUGGGUGGUCUCUGAGGCUAAAAAAUAUACCCUAAGCACCUCCCCUGAUGUAGUUUCAUGGAGCCUUAAUAAGAAGAAGAGGUUCUCCACCAAAUCAGUUUAUGAGUGGCUGGAGAGGGAUUUGGCUGGUCCGAAUAACAAAUGGAUUUGGAAAGCUAGUAUCCCUUUAAAAAUUAAAAUCUUCUUGUGGCAGUUGUUUCAAAAUGUUGUGCUUACACGGGACAACUUGCGAAAAAGGGGCUGGCCUGGAAAUCCUGCUUGUUCCUUCUGCAAUAACAUGGAAGAUGCUAAUCAUCUGUUUUUUACAUGCUCACUUGCUCGAACUGUAUGGGGGGUCUUGGGUGUAACAGUUGGGGCUUCCUGUUGCCCUCGAUCACUGUGGCAAUGUUGGGCUUGGCUUUAUAAAUUCUUUCCAGGCGAAAAGAAAUUCUAUAUGAUGAUUAUUGCUGCGAUUUGUUGGGGGAUUUGGUGCCUCCGAAACAAAGUUACUUUUGAUAAAUACAAUGCUCGUACUCCGCCGGAGGCUGUUUUCAGUGCUUGUUCUUUUAUGUUGUACUGGGCAGGACUACUGAAAGAAGAAGACAGGACGAGGUUCAAGGCUGGGGUGAAAAGGCUGGCGUUUGCGGCAGCGGCUCUGGCAGACAGGUCGUACACUCAGGGGUGGAUGCUGCUGAGGGAUGGAGAUGAAGUUCAGAUUGGCUAG